rnacentral:rRNA from 1 species
GACGGCCGUACCAUGCUGAAUAUACCGGUUCUCGUUAGAUCACCGAAGUUAAGCAUCAUUGGGCGCGGUCAGUACUUGGGUGGGUGACCACCUCGGAACACUGCGUGCCGUU